GGUAGAAUGGCUGAUGAAAGCGGUAGAUUGUAGUCCUACAUAUGGGAGUUUCCCUUCUAUCA
rnacentral:tRNA from 1 species